UCGGUGUGUACAAGGCCCGGGAACGUAUUCACCGCAGCGUCGCUGAUCUGCGAUUACUAGCGACUCCGACUUCAUGAGGUCGAGUUGCAGACCCCAAUCCGAACUGAGACCGGCUUUCCGAGAUUCGCUCACCCUCACAGGCUCGCCACUCUCUGUACCAGCCAUUGUAGCAUGCGUGAAGCCCUGGACAUAAGGGGCAUGAUGACUUGACGUCAUCCCCACCUUCCUCCGAGUUGACCCCGGCGGUCUCCACUGAGUCCCCACCAUAACGUGCUGGCAACAGUGAACAAGGGUUGCGCUCGUUGCGGGACUUAACCCAACAUCUCACGACACGAGCUGACGACAGCCAUGCACCACCUGUAUACAAGUGUCCAAAGAGACCUCUGUCUCCAGAGGCUUCUCGUAUAUGUCAAACCCAGGUAAGGUUCUUCGCGUUA
rnacentral:rRNA from 1 species